rnacentral:rRNA from 1 species
GAUGAACGCUGGCGGCGUGCCUAAUACAUGCAAGUCGAGCGAACAGACGAGUAGCUUGAUACUCUGACGUAAGCGGCGGAUAGCUGAGUAACACUUUGCUCACCUCCCUAUAAUACUGGGAUAACUUCGGGAAACCUACGCUAUUUCCGGAUAAUAUAUUUAGUCGCAUGGUUAAAUAUUUAUCGACGGUUUUUCUGUCCCUGAUCUAUGAAUCCGCUCCGCAUUAGAUAGUUGGUAAGGUAACGGCUUACCAAGGCGACGAUGGGUAUACGACCUGAGAGGGGGAUAGGCGACACGGGAACGGAGACGCGGUCAAGACUCCUACGGGAGGCAGCAGUAGGGAAUCUGACGCAAUGGGCGAAAGCAUGACGGAGCAGCGCAGCGUGAGAGAUGAAGGUCUCCGGAGAGUGAAACUCGGUUAUUAGGGAAGAACAAAUGUGUAAGGAACUAUGCACGUAUUGACGGUACCUAAUCAGAAAGCCACGGCUAACUACGUG